rnacentral:lncRNA from 1 species
GAAUUAAAGCAGUCAAAAUAGGUCAAAAACCGUGGGUCGAGCCCAAAUCAUCUCACUAUAGGGCAGAUUUGGGAAAAUAUAUUAAACCCGCAAAUAAACGGGCCACAUAGAUUGAUUCGCAGUGGGUCAUCGGUUUUCGUCCGAGGGUUGGCGGAUCAACCCGCAUGAUAGUAUUUAUUGAUAAAAAUAUAAUUUAUUCAACA